rnacentral:rRNA from 1 species
GAUGAACGCUGGCGGCGUGCCUAAUACAUGCAAGUCGAGCGAAUGGAUUAAGAGCUUGCUCUUAUGAAGUUAGCGGCGGACGGGUGAGUAACACGUGGGUAACCUGCCCAUAGGACUGGGAUAACUCCGGGAAACCGGGGCUAAUACCGGAUAACAUUUUGAACCGCAUGGUUCGAAAUUGAAAGGCGGCUUCGGCUGUCACUUAUGGAUGGACCCGCGUCGCAUUAGCUAGUUGGUGAGGUAACGGCUCACCAAGGCAACGAUGCGUAGCCGAGCUGAGAGGGUGAUCGGCCAGACUGGGACUGAGACACGGCCCAGACUCCUACGGGAGGCAGCAGUAGGGAAUCUUCCGCAAUGGACGAAAGUCUGACGGAGCAACGCCGCGUGAGUGAUGAAGGCUUUCGGGUCGUAAAACUCUGUUGUUAGGGAAGAACAAGUGCUAGUUGAAUAAGCUGGCACCUUGACGGUACCUAACCAGAAAGCCACGGCUAACUACGUGCCAGCAGCCGCCGACA